rnacentral:rRNA from 1 species
GAUGAACGCUGGCGGCGGGCCUAAUACAUGCAAGUCGAGCGAACGGACGAGGAGCUUGCUCCUCUGACGUUAGCGGCGGGCGGGCGAGUAACACGUGGAUAACCUACCUAUCCUACUGGGCUAACUUCGGCAAACCGGAUCGAACACCGGACAAUAGAUUGAACCGCACGGUUCCCUAGUGAAACACGGGUUUGCUGUCACUUAUAGAUGGAUCGGCGCCGCAUUAGCUAGUUGGUAAGGUAACGGCUUACCAAGGCAACGAUGCGUAGCCGACCUGAGAGGGUAGUCAGCCACCCUGGAACGGAGCCACGGUCCAGACUCCUACGGGAGGCAGGAGUGGAGAAAGUUCCGCAAGGGGCGGAGGGCUGACGGGACCACGCCGAGUGGGUGGUGAAAGGCUUCGGAUCGUAAUACUCUGCUACUAGGGAGGAACAAAUGUGUAAGUAACUAGGCAGGUCUUGACGGUACCUAAUCAGAAAGCCCCGGCUAACUACGUG